CCUACACAUGCAGUCGAACGGUAGCACAGAGAGCUUGCUCUCGGGUGACGAGUGGCGGACGGGUGAGUAAUGUCUGGGAAACUGCCUGAUGGAGGGGGAUAACUACUGGAAACGGUAGCUAAUACCGCAUAACGUCGCAAGACCAAAGAGGGGGACCUUCGGGCCUCUUGCCAUCAGAUGUGCCCAGAUGGGAUUAGCUAGUAGGUGGGGUAACGGCUCACCUAGGCGACGAUCCCUAGCUGGUCUGAGAGGAUGACCAGCCACACUGGAACUGAGACACGGUCCAGACUCCUACGGGAGGCAGCAGUGGGGAAUAUUGCACAAUGGGCGCAAGCCUGAUGCAGCCAUGCCGCGUGUAUGAAGAAGGCCUUCGGGUUGUAAAGUACUUUCAGCGGGGAGGAAGGCGAUAAGGUUAAUAACCUUGUCGAUUGACGUUACCCGCAGAAGAAGCACCGGCUAACUCCGUGCCAGCAGCCGCGGUAAUACGGAGGGUGCAAGCGUUAAUCGGAAUUACUGGGCGUAAAGCGCACGCAGGCGGUCUGUCAAGUCGGAUGUGAAAUCCCCGGGCUCAACCUGGGAACUGCAUUCGAAACUGGCAGGCUGGAGUCUUGUAGAGGGGGGUAGAAUUCCAGGUGUAGCGGUGAAAUGCGUAGAA
rnacentral:rRNA from 1 species